GGCCUACGGGAGGCAACAGUGGGGAAUAUUGGGCAAUGGGCGCAAGCCUGACCCAGCAACGCCGCGUGAAGGAAGAAGGCUUUCGGGUUGUAAACUUCUUUUAUUGAGGACGAAACAAAUGACGGUACUCAAUGAAUAAGCCACGGCUAACUACGUGCCAGCAGCCGCGGUAAUACGUAGGUGGCAAGCGUUGUCCGGAUUUACUGGGUGUAAAGGGCGUGUAGCCGGGCCGGCAAGUCAGAUGUGAAAUCCCAAGGCUCAACCUUGGAACUGCAUUUGAAACUGUUGGUCUUGAGUAUCGGAGG
rnacentral:rRNA from 1 species